rnacentral:rRNA from 1 species
AGUGAACGCUGGCGGUAGGCCUAACACAUGCAAGUCGAACGGCAGCACAGUAAGAGCUUGCUCUUACGGGUGGCGAGUGGCGGACGGGUGAGGAAUACAUCGGAAUCUACUUUUUCGUGGGGGAUAACGUAGGGAAACUUACGCUAAUACCGCAUACGACCUACGGGUGAAAGCAGGGGAUCUUCGGACCUUGCGCGAUUGAAUGAGCCGAUGUCGGAUUAGCUAGUUGGCGGGGUAAAGGCCCACCAAGGCGACGAUCCGUAGCUGGUCUGAGAGGAUGAUCGGCCACACUGGAACGGAGACACGGUCCAGACUCCUACGGGAGGCAGCAGUGGGGAAUAUUGGACAAUGGGCGCAAGCCUGAUCCAGCCAUACCGCGUGGGUGAAGAAGGCCUUCGGGUUGUAAAGCCCUUUUGUUGGGAAAGAAAAGCAGCAGGUUAAUACCCAGCUGUUCUGACGGUACCCAAAGAAUAAGCACCGGCUAACUUCGUG